CGUCGUUGAACGGCCCUGAAAGCGCUGCGUUAGGGGCGAGUGCAACCGAACAUUACGGCAAGUUACGAUGGGAACUUCUUUCCGUGCUACUUGAUUGCGACGACAAGAACGGCCAGCAGUAGCGUGUCGCCGAUUUCGUCUUGGCCGACAUCGAACAAGUAUAGCUCGCCGGACCGUGGCUAGCACCCGAAGUGUUGCGGUCUGCACUGCGUCGUCUUUCAUUGUGAUGUGAGAGAUCGUAACGCACAGAGACUGCCGGAUGCAUACGAAAGCCUACCAGCAGGGAGUGACUGUGCCAUUUUUCUCUUAACGUCUCAGGUAUUGAAGAAGCGGCAACAGCCACAGAAAGUAGCCAUCUUAUCCAGCACGUUAUGGGUAGAACUUGGCGGCUCCUGCUCCUGCCUUCCACCACCACCCUGUCCCGACUGCUUCCACUAGAGAGUUGGCAACCUUAGUGAUGAUGCCAAGCAGUCCGAUGGCAGACGGCAAGAUGCAGGUUGCUGCGAAAUUUUACCCGAGCUGGGCCACACACUUGAGCCAGGCCUCUUGGAAAGGAUGCCAUAAUCAGACUCCACGCGUCGAUGUCAGAGGAUGCCAGGGAUCAAGGCAACCUGUUGUGCCCCACUAUUCAAUGUUUGGUGACCCUUCUAUGUGUUUCACCUAUUUCGCAGCUGUACCUCGGCUGCCAUCUAUCCAAACAGCAUCGCCAGCUGUGCCCACUUGUUGAACCAUGGACAAAUGUUGGCAUGGAGUGUUCCCUGGGCUUCAUGUUCUAUUUGCUCUUCAGGAUUCUUGGCAAAUACUGUUAUAAGUUACAUGUUUUUAGUACCGACUUUUUAAUAUUUCCUUUCUCUUGGAAUUCUUAACAUCUCCUGCUAUUAUAUCUGUAUGUAUGCCCAGUUUCUCGUAGUUAUUUUGUACUUGUGUAUGUAAUUGAUAGGUUCUUAACUCUUGUAAUGCGUAAGGCUAAAACGCUGACUUACAUCAUGUUUUGUUCAUUUAUUAUCUGCAGCGCUGUAAAACGUUCAAGAAUUUUAACUCAACUAGUGCCCCAUAGCAGGAUAAAUUCAAGAGCAAAAUUGAGCACCUAUUUCAAGCACCCGUUAUUUUUUAAAAAGGAAAGAACGUAGGAGCAUGGAAAAAAACAGUAUUAUAGUAGGAAAACCUGGCUGCCCAUCAUAAGUGUCUUAAUAAUGUGACUUCCUUUCAGUGCAAUGAUACCAGUGGCACUGGUGGACAACGUUUGAGACAUGAAACCCAUGAUACCCUUGGCAUUCGUCAGU